UGUUUGUUUGUUUCAUGUAAAUGUCUUAAAACUAAAUUGUAUAGAUAGGUUCCAGUUCCAUGCAUUUAAGUGUAAUUUAGUUUUUAUAAUCGCUGUAAAGCAUGAAGCUCCUGUUUCAACUCGUGGACUUAAAGCUGGAUCUUCUCCAGUUUCAGCACUACAUUAGAGUCUAGAUCAGGACUGCAGAAAGUGUUGCCCGUUAUAACCAAUCACACAAGCUUCUGUUGGGUUUAUGAAUGACGCAGCCAAUCAGAGGCGUUCAGAUGAGUCCUCGCUGAAGCACCAGAGUUUUGUUGUUCAAAGAGCACGCUCCCUGACUGAAUUCUGCUCACUCAGCGAAUUCUCUCAUCAUAAACAACAAAGUGCUGAUGUUAUAAGAAGAUAAAAGAAGACUAAUGCCAAAUCUGAGCUACACUAAGACUCCACUGAUGAGUUCAGGUCAACUACUACACACUAUCCAGCAACAAUGGCUUCACCCAGACCCCGGCAUCGACGCGGAAGCAUGGAGCUGCCAACUAACAUGCUAUCUGAUGUUAUUCAUCUCACAGAUGAAUUGAAUAGACUUAAUGAGGACGUUUCCCUAGAAUGUAACAAGCAUAAAGAGAAAUUUCAUGAUGUCAUCAAUGAGUUUAAAAAUGGUAUCAGAUUUACUUCUUAUGCCAUCAGAGGAGCAGAAAUAACUGCAGCAAUUGCAAUGGUGUUGUCAGCAUUAUCAUUUUUUAUAACUGAAGAAGAGAUUUCUUUAUUUUAUUCUGGAGUAGGGUUAGGUUUGGCUUUAGUUGUUAUAUCAUAUGCUAUUUUUGGACAAAACAGGAUAACGCAGCAGAAGAAGAACUUAAAACGAUCUGUUGAAAAUAAUCUUAAGGGAUUUCAGGAUAAAAUGAACCCGACUAUUGACAUGAUGGAAAAAAUCUGUCAACGCACUGGGGAAAUAUUGAGAGACCCUUCACUAUCUUACCACAAAACCCAGUCAUUAAGUGAACACUUUGCCCACUGCUUUGAAAAAAGUUAUCUCUUCCAGGAACAUGACAAGGAUAAAGUGGCUUCUAAAAUUGGGCAUUUGUCUGGAAACAUUUCAGAAAUGAUCGCCAAGAUUAGUUCUGUGCCUGAUAUCCUCAAAGAGAUUAUCGAAGACAACGAGAGGCAACGUGCCAAACCUGCGAAACCCAGACAGGAACAAAUAAAUAAAAGAGAGUUUAAGAAGAUAGCAGACAAAUUCACUAACGACAUGCAGAAAGCAAUAUGUGAUUUAAGAAAUGGAGUGAAAGCAAUCAGCCAAACAACAGACAGUUUAUCAGAUAUUUUUAGUUGAACCUGACAUAAUGAAAAAAGUAUGAGCUGCUGAUACAGUCCUACAACAAUUAAUGAUAGUUUUUACUUGAUUGAUACUUUAUUAAAUGCAGAAAUCUAGGAUUAUUGUUUUUGUUUUGCAUUAUUGGUCAAAAAAAGAUGUUUUUAUUUUGUGCGUGUUAUGUGCUUUCUAUUAAUCACUUUAUAUAACAA